rnacentral:rRNA from 2 species
UAUCAUGCAAGUCGAGCGAACAGAAGGGAGCUUGCUCCCGGAUGUUAGCGGCGGACGGGUGAGUAACACGUGGGUAACCUGCCUGUAAGACUGGGAUAACUCCGGGAAACCGGAGCUAAUACCGGAUAGUUCCUUGAACCGCAUGGUUCAAGGAUGAAAGACGGUUUCGGCUGUCACUUACAGAUGGACCCGCGGCGCAUUAGCUAGUUGGUGGGGUAAUGGCUCACCAAGGCGACGAUGCGUAGCCGACCUGAGAGGGUGAUCGGCCACACUGGGACUGAGACACGGCCCAGACUCCUACGGGAGGCAGCAGUAGGGAAUCUUCCGCAAUGGACGAAAGUCUGACGGAGCAACGCCGCGUGAGUGAUGAAGGUUUUCGGAUCGUAAAGCUCUGUUGUUAGGGAAGAACAAGUGCGAGAGUAACUGCUCGCACCUUGACGGUACCUAACCA